CGAGGGCGAAGAGGAACCUGUGGGCCUCGGGGGAUCCCAGGGGGCCAGACCAGUGUUCCCCAUUUGUGGGGGCAGACGCGUGGGCGCAUCGCGGGCAGGAGGGGCCUGACAUGCAUUUGCGGGCCGUGGACCCUGGCGGGGGCUGGGAGGACAGGCGUGGGGUCCCAGCAGUGAAGCGGGUUCCAGAGGCGCAGGAGUGGGUAGGCGAGGCUGGUGGCCCUGGGCCCGGAGUCUGCAGGCCGCGCUCCUGUCCUGCCGCUGAGGGACCCGGUUACCAACCCUCAUGUAGCUCAGUUUGCCCGUGUGUCCCGGUGCUAACACACAGUUCUCGGGAGACGUUCCCCAUUCCCAGAGGAGUAGUGCGAAACGCGUGUGCCUCUAGUCUUAAGCUGGGCGUUUGUAUUAGUUGAGUUUCCCGGUGUCUAUUUAGCAAGUGAAGUUUCUGGUUCCCUCCUUCACUGUGUGACCUGCCUAGUCCUCCUGGAUUGCAUUUAUGGAAGUUUAUACAAGACCUAGUUUCCAUGGAGGAACUCACUGCUUCCGCGAGGGAGAUGGGGUACUGGAUGAUGGUCUUCAGCCUUAAGGCUAUGUUUCCAGUGUCCUCUGGGUGUUUCCAAGAGCAACAAGAAACGAAUAAAUCUCUGGUGACUUUUUGAAAAAAUAGUAUCUCUUGUUGCAAGAAAUGGUCCAUCUGUGAUUUCAAGUCUCUCGCUUGAGUGAAUUGGAUGGAAGUGGUGAAUUUCAGCCAAAGUGGCCAAAGAAAUCCUGUUCCUGUGAUAAUGACGCCAUCAGCCUCUGCACCUCUGUCUUCCCUUCUGCCACAUGUUGCCUGUUCUCCGUGACUUUGGUAAGAGCUUCCUUGUGUAUGAGGAUGAUGUCCAGGAUGUUGGUCUGGUGUCCCUGAGACAGCACUAACAGGUCCAUGGCUGGGUCCACGUCCUUCCUGGACUCAUUGGCAAGGAGCUUACUGAUGUUCUUGAAGGCAUCUCUGGUGAAGUGGAUGGCCUAGUCAAGUUCCAAGGCCUGGCUGAGGCUGAAGAAAAACUGGCCACCUUCUGAUGCUCUUUCUAAAAGCCUGUCACUGUCAUCUGCUUGCUUGUCAACUCAUUGGCUGUGAGGAUGAGCUGAGUGGCCUGUGUCCAUCUUCUUGGGGAAGCAUUUGAAGCCAUCAGUCUUGCUCUCCCACCCCUAAAGGUUGAUGGUCACCACCUGGGGGUGUGCUGAGGGUCAGAAAGAAGCCAGCACUCACUAUCUCAUCCUUCUCAGCCUUCCUCUUGCACUCUGUCCAGGCUGUCUCUUCAGUGUUGGUCGGGUAUGUCAGAAAGCGAUGGAAGAUGUGGCACUGGGCCCACACCCAGAAGCUGGCCAUGUGGUUGGCUCAUCCACCAGAAUGGAUGCUCUGGGUGCUCUUUAAGCCAGCUUGGCCUUGCCUGGCAUGCACAGGCCCCAGGUUCCGACAUGUUGCUCCGAGUGAGCUUGUCCUGCCUUGGGCCAAAUUCUCUCAGGCCAGGGCCACAAAAGGCUGAGUCCCACGGGUGGUAAUCCUGGCUGCUUUCUGCACUUCCACAUAAAGACCUCCUGAAGAUGGCCUGUGAUCUACCUCUUUGCAACCAAGAAGCCCACAGUGCCAUAUGAACCCUUAGGCAUGGACUGGAGCCCCUGAGGAAGCACACACCCUGCUCCUGAGCCUGCUGCCCAUUUUCUCUGUGUGGCUCCAUUUGUGUCACAGUUGUUGCACAGACUUGUGCAUGCCAGGCAAGGCCAAGCUGGCUCAAAAAGAAACCGGCCCCCUCUGCAAGGUUUUGCCAGGAGCCGGUGGACCGGCCACAAACCUCACUUGCUGCCGGUCAGGUUACAUCAGUUCUUCUACCCUAGAGGUAGGGCCCCAGUGCCAUAUGCUUUUCCUCAGGCCUCUGCUCUAUCAGUCAUCAGGUGGCAACCACUCAGGCUGUGGGAACCUGGCCAUCCCUCCUUCCUUGAGUAGCUGAGGUUGCUGGCUUGUCUGCCUGCUACAGGUGCAGCCUUGCAGAUGUGGCUAGUUGCUCUGAGCCAGCUUGGCCUUGCCUGGCAUGCAUAGGCCCCAGGUACUGACACUCUGCUCCGAGUCAGCUUGUCCUGCCUUGGGUCAAAUUCUAAGUCUGGCCAGGGCCACAGAAGGCCCAGUCCCCUGGGUGCUAAUCUUGGCUGCUUUCUGCACUUGAUCAUAAAGUCCUCCUCAAGAAAGCCUGUGGUCUGCCUGUUGGCGACCAAGAAACCUACAGUGUCAUACGAGCCCUGAGGCAUGGACUGGAGCCACAAAGGCAGUGCACGGCCCGUUCCUGAGCCUGCUGAUCAUUUCCUCUAUAUGGCUCCAUUUGUAGCACACUUGUUGCAGCGAGGCUUGUGUAUGCCAGGCAAGGCCAAGCUGGCUCAAAGAGCAAGCAGCCACCUCUGCAAGGGUGUGCCAGGAGCAAAUGGACCAGCUGCCAACCUCACUCACUGCCAGAUGUGGUACAUCAGUUCUUCUACCCUAAAGGUGGGGCCAAGAGGCAGACCACAGGCCGUCUUGAGGAGGACUUUAUGUUCAAGUGCAGAAAGCAGGCAGGAUUACCACCCUGGGGACUCACCCUUCUGUGGCCCACAGUGCCAUAUGAGCCCUGAGGCAUGGACUGGUGCCAUCUGCUUUAUACAAAAAUUAACUUAAGAUGGAUUAAAGAGUUAAAUAUGCCACCUGCUUUUCCUCAGGGCUCUGCUCCAUCAGCCAUCAGGAGGCAGCCACUCAGGCUGUGGAAACCUGGCCAUCCUGGCUUCCUUCUGUGGGUGAGGUUGGUGGCUGGUCCACCUGCUCCAGGCACACCCUUGCAGAGGUGGCUGCUUGCUCUUUGAGCCAGCUUGGCCUUGCCUCGCAUGCACAGGCCCCACCUACUGACACACUGCUCUGAGUGACCUUGUCCUGCCUUGGGCUAAAUUCUCUCAGGCCAGGGCCACAGAAGGCCGAGUCCCCUGGGUGGUAAUCCUGGCUGCUUUCUGCACUUGUACAUAAAGUCUUCCUCAAGACGGCCUGUGGUCUGCCUCUUGGCAACAAAGAAGACUGCAGUGCCAUAGGAGCCCUGAGGCAUGCACUGGAUCCCCAAAGGCAGUGCACACCCUGCUCCUGAGCCUCCUGCUCCUUUCCUAUAUAUGGCUCCAUUUGUAGCACCGUUGUUACACCGAGGCUUGUGCAUGCCAGGCAAGCCCAAGCUGGCUCAAAGAGCAACCAGCCACCUCUGCAAGGGUGUGCCAGGAACAGGUGGGCCAAUCACCAACCUCACAUGCUGCCAGUCACAAUACAUCAGUUCUUCUGCCCUAGAGUUAGGGCCCCAGUGCCAUCUGCUUUUCCUCAGGACUCUGCUCCAUCAGCCAUCAGGUGGCAGCUACUCAUGCUGUUGGAACCUGGCCAUCUGGGCUUCCUUGAGUGGGUGAGGUUGCUGGCUUGUCCGCCUGCUUAAAGGUACUAUGAGGAUAGAACACUGAAAUAAUAAUAAUGCAUUUUUCAAACAAAUUAAUUCCUCAAUUUUCAAACAAAUUGAAGACAAAGGAAACUCAUGAUUCAAAUGAAUACAUAUGGCUCAUUUUAUUCAAUAUUUAUGCUUACAGAAUAUAUGCAAAUAAGACAUUCCCAUGAUUAAUAUUAGUAUUUAAGACUGAUAAACUUUUGAGUGGGCAGUUAAAGCUUAUCUUCUACUAUUUUCUAACUUCAGAAAUGCUUUUGUUUGAAAGUUGGGUGACAAAGUUUCAAAGAGAUUAAGUCCCAAUAUUCCUAUUUUAAAUCUCUCAGCUUGUGCAGGCAGGGCAGGUAAAUAUGAAGUUUUUAAGGAUAGAAGGAUCCUGAGAGAUAGCAGAAUAUGUCUGCUACAUAACAGGUACUCAGGUUAUGUUUGAUGAAUAAAUGGAAUGAAAGAAUGGAUAAAUACAGUUGGGGAGUUCAAUAUUUUUAAAUAAACUCCUAUAAAGCAAUAUUUUUGCAAUAGUAAUAUUUAUAUGUUAUUUUUAUUUAAGAAUACAAUUAAAAUGAAAUGAUUAAUCUAUCAUUGUUUGCAUAAAUUGAAUGAGUACAUAAGCAAAACAUAUGUACAUAAUAAAAUAUAUAGAUAAUAAAAUCUGGAAACAGAUAAAAAUAUUCCCUUUUUACUUCUGAAGAGGCUAAAAGUUCAAAGAUGAUAACAAUACACUCAAUAAUGAUAAAAAUAGAAAGUGAGAAAUUAUUUUUAAUAUUGUAAGAUUCAUAUUCCUGUCUUCCCAAGGAUUAUUCCUUUAUUAAUAAACUUUACUAGAAGUUUUGUACAUGCUCACUGCAGCAAUCACAGAUAAGAAAAAGGAAAAGAA